rnacentral:rRNA from 1 species
GAGUUUGAUCCUGGCUCAGGAUGAACGCUAGCGGGAGGCCUAACACAUGCAAGCCGAGCGGUAGAGAUCUUUCGGGAUCUUGAGAGCGGCGUACGGGUGCGGAACACGUGUGCAACCUGCCUUUAUCUGGGGGAUAGCCUUUCGAAAGGAAGAUUAAUACCCCAUAAUAUACUGGAUGGCAUCAUUCGGUAUUGAAAACUCCGGUGGAUAGAGAUGGGCACGCGCAAGAUUAGAUAGUUGGUGAGGUAACGGCUCACCAAGUCUGCGAUCUUUAGGGGGCCUGAGAGGGUGAUCCGCCACACUGGUACUGAGACACGGACCAGACUCCUACGGGAGGCAGCAGUGAGGAAUAUUGGACAAUGGGUGAGAGCCUGAUCCAGCCAUCCCGCGUGAAGGACGACGGCCCUAUGGGUUGUAAACUUCUUUUGUAUAGGGAUAAACCUACCCUCGUGAGGGUAGCUGAAGGUACUAUACGAAUAAGCACCGGCUAACUCCGUGCCAGCAGCCGCGGUAAUACGGAGGGUGCAAGCGUUAUCCGGAUUUAUUGGGUUUAAAGGGUCCGUAGGCGGAUCUGUAAGUCAGUGGUGAAAUCUCACAGCUUAACUGUGAAACUGCCAUUGAUACUGCAGGUCUUGAGUGUUGUUGAAGUAGCUGGAAUAAGUAGUGUAGCGGUGAAAUGCAUAGAUAUUACUUAGAACACCAAUUGCGAAGGCAGGUUACUAAGCAACAACUGACGCUGAUGGACGAAAGCGUGGGGAGCGAACAGGAUUAGAUACCCUGGUAGUCCACGCCGUAAACGAUGCUAACUCGUUUUUGGAAUGUAAGUUUCAGAGACUAAGCGAAAGUGAUAAGUUAGCCA